GAUGAAGAACGUAGCGAAAUGCGAUAAGUAAUGUGAAUUGCAGAAUUCAGUGAAUCAUCGAAUCUUUGAACGCACAUUGCGCCCCUUGGUAUUCCGGUGGGCAUGCCUGUUCGAGCGUCAUUACAACCCUCAAGCUCUGCUUGGUCUUGGGCGUCACCGGUCCCCGGUGUGCCUUAAAAUCAGUGGCGGCGCCAUCUGGCUCUAAGCGUAGUACAUACUCUCGCUACAGACGUCCGGUGGAUGCUGGCCAGCAACCCCCAAUUUAUCAAGGUUGACCUCGGAUCAGGUAGGGAUACCCGCUGAACUUAAGCAUAUCAAUAAGCGGAGGA
rnacentral:misc_RNA from 1 species